AUCUCACCUCCAUCUCAGGUGGCUCUUCAUCUUCAUGAUGAUUCAGGCCCAUGACCAUCUUCCUAAACGCUCUAUUCACCCACACAACCCUAUUUAACCUGUCUGAUACGAACCCUGGACACGUAUCCCCUCCCAGAUUAGUUAAAUUCUCCAUGUCUGUACGCCCUAACCCUAGCGCAUCCAUGCACGUCUCACUCACGUAGUCCACCGUUACCCACGUUUCCGCUUCCUUCCUCCUUGGAGACAUCACUGCUAUCUCACCUAGCGCUUCCUCACGAUCAUUCAUCAAGUUCAAGUUCAGGUUCAAGUUCAGCCGAAUAAAAGGGCCACCAUCUUCCUGACAUUCAUACAUACUAGCACUAUCCCAGGCUCCACCUUUUGAUGAGACCCUUUGUUCCGCACGAUUCUCCUGUAACAGUUGCAGCGUGGAACAACGGCGAUAUCCCUAAACGUCGGCGAUGGACCAAGUAGAGGCCCUCCGACCUCCGGCUUUGGAGCGAUGGGUCGGAAUCUUAGCAUCAACCUGUUGAUCAUCGUCUUAUCCUGCACACUACCGGCGCAUCUCACGGAGCGCCACCCCUCGCCGCCAUCCAUGCUUAUCCUACCCACCUAGCACAGCACUACCACCAGGUCAUCGUGGGAUCCAAAUUUGUGUCUCUCUCUUCUCGAUCUGCGGGUGCGGGUGCAGGUUCCGAAGCAAUUAUUCUCUUCCGCUGAGGGCUCAAGAGGAGGGGAGCCGGUGGGCCAAGUCGCUACCAAACUAGACAGAGGGGGCAAUGAGAGAGGGUGAAAAAGGCAAAGGAGAUCGGUCACGUGUCCAGUUAAAAGUCCAAUUCCAUUGGUAGAGUGGUGUUGGGCCAGCGAUAAAGUGAUGCACCCGGCACAAUGGAGUACGCAGAGAUGGUCCCACCAAAGGACCAAUCAGAAUAGAGAAGGUGUCCAGCACUGCCGAAAGCAUGGUACACGUGGGCUGUUCCAAUGAAAACAUCACUGUGGGAUGAAGUGGAGAAGAGGGACUUGGGGUUGGGGAGGUUCCAGAAUAACCACACGUGGUUGGGUUCUAUUCGUGGCCUCGUCCAUAUUAAACGGGUCUGGCCGAUUCCCCACUCGAGAGCAUGUUCGUGAACUUCACGACCCACCCAGACGGCUGUCUUUUCAUGAGAAUCGUGAUGCGUGAGUCUCACGAUCGUGACGGCCAAAGAAUAAGAAUGUUUAGAUAUAUUUACAUCCAAAAUUAAUGGAUGUACCAUAUAAGACACGUUGCAGUUUUUUAGAUGAGCGGAUCUCGGCUAAGAUUUCUUA